GACGAACGCUGGCGGCGUGCUUAACACAUGCAAGUCGAACGGAAAGGCCCUUCGGGGUACUCGAGUGGCGAACGGGUGAGUAACACGUGGGUGAUCUGCCCUGCACUUUGGGAUAAGCCUGGGAAACUGGGUCUAAUACCGAAUAGGACCGCGCGCUUCAUGGUGUGUGGUGGAAAGCUUUUGCGGUGUGGGAUGGGCCCGCGGCCUAUCAGCUUGUUGGUGGGGUAAUGGCCUACCAAGGCGACGACGGGUAGCCGGCCUGAGAGGGUGACCGGCCACACUGGGACUGAGGUACGGCCCAGACUCCUACGGGAGGCAGCAGUGGGGAAUAUUGCACAAUGGGCGCAAGCCUGAUGCAGCGACGCCGCGUGAGGGAUGACGGCCUUCGGGUUGUAAACCUCUUUCGCCAGGGACGAAGCGCAAGUGACGGUACCUGGAGAAGAAGCACCGGCCAACUACGUG
rnacentral:rRNA from 1 species